GUUACCGCAUCGCGAGACUUUCGAACAUAAACGCCACAGAUAUAACUAAACCUAGAUGACUCAGCGCGCUCUCGUUGGUGACCGUUAAUCACUUCUUCGGUGACCGAUUAUCAUGACGUUUCUCCGUUUGUCAAAGCGCGAGCAUGUUCUAUUAAUAAACUGAUACAACAGGCAAAUAUUUUUUUUCCCAACCCAUGAAAAUGUUUGCCCCCACUAGCUUAGCGUCGCCGUGUGCACUCACCUCACAGGGGAGAGUCACGACUCGCAGUUGUUCAUAUCUGUGGCGGCCCGCACCGAAGCGCGAGAGUUUCGCUUUCCUGACAAAACCAAAGUUUAAUGGAGAUGGUCCCCAGUCCCAAAUUACGAUGCCUGCUUUGCCAAAGGAGCGGAGAGACCGAAGUCACCGGGCCACUGUUGAGCAAAGUCGAUGUCACAGCUCACCAGAACUGUUUGUUGUUCUCUUCAGGUAUUUACUGCACCGACUCCCCCCUCUUUGACGACCUCUUCGGAUUUUCCGUGGAGGAUGUGAUGGACGAGGUGAAACGCGGAAGCAGAUUGGUUUGUGCCAAAUGCAAGAAAAGAGGCGCCACGGCCGGCUGCGAGGUGAAGAACUGCAGCAAAUGCUACCACUACCCCUGCGCCAUUGAGGACGUGGCAGAAACCGUCGUGGACAGCGUCAAAGGCAAAUAUCAGCUGUUCUGCUUGAAACACGGGCCAGGGCAACAGCAGAGAAAAGGCCCUUCCUCAAAUGAAGGCGACCCCGCCGGGUCCGCGUCAGACGCUAAAUCGGGUUCUCAGUCCAAGAGAGAACUGAUUCUCGCUGACGCAUCACAAAAUCAUCUGCGAACAUCACGGUCCGAGGGGAUUUCAGUCCAACCUCGUCUGUCAGCCACAGCAAACAGGAAGGGGCUCAGAGCGGAUCCCUGAUGCAGUCCCACCUCCACCUUGAUUUGUUCUGACACACCUACGGCACAAUCUCACCGCUGUUCUGCUGCCCUCAUACAUGUCCUGUACUAUUCUAACAUAUUUCUCCGUCACGCCAGACCUGCGCAUGCAGUACCACAGUUCCUCUCUCGGUACUGUCAUGGGCUUUCUCGAGAUCCCCAAAGACACAAUGUAGCUCCGUCUGGCCUUCUCGGUACUUUUCCACGAGCAUCCUCAAGGCAAAUACUGCAUCUGUGGGAGACCAACACACCGUCCAAAAAGAAGAAGAUUUUGUCUAUUUCCUCAAGUUCAGGCGAGGAGGAGGAUCCCGGCAAAUCUUUAGCCCCCAUUCAGGACUCCGAUU